rnacentral:misc_RNA from 1 species
GAUGAAGAACGUAGCGAAAUGCGAUACGUAAUGUGAAUUGCAGAAUUCAGUGAAUCAUCGAAUCUUUGAACGCAUAUUGCGCUCCCUGGUAUUCCGGAGAGCAUGCUUGUUUGAGUAUCAGUAAACACCUCAACUCCCCUUUCUUUUUUUGAAAUGGGAGCUGGACUUGAGUGAUCCCAACGCUUUUCUCACCGAAAAGUGGCGGGUUACUUGAAAUGCAGGUGCAGCUGGACUUUUCUCUGAGCUAAAAGCAUAUCUAUUUAGUCUGCCUAAAAAACAGAUUAUUACCUUUGCUGCAGCUAACAUAAAGGAGAUUAGUUCUUGUGCUGACUGAUGCAGGAUUCACAGAGACAGCUUCGGCUGGCCUUUGUAAACUCGAUCUCAAAUCAAGUAAGACUACCCGCUGAACUUAAGCAUAUCAAUAAGCGGAGGA